rnacentral:misc_RNA from 1 species
UCCGGUUUGUCACCGGCAGUCUCCUUAGAGAGCCCAACUUAAUGCUGGCAACUAAGGACAAGGGUUGCGCUCGUUGCGGGACUUAACCCAACAUGUCACCACACGAGCUGACGACAGCCAUGCAGCACCUGUCUUCCGGUCGUAUUGCUACGAAAACUGCAUUUCUGCAGCGGUCCGAAGAUGUCAAAUCCAGGUAAGGUUUUUCGCGUUGCUUCGAAUUAAACCACAUGAUCCACCGCUUGUGCGGGCCCCCGUCAAUUCCUUUGAGUUUUAGUCUUGCGACCGUACUUCCCAGGCGGGGUACUUAUUGCGUUAGCGCCGGUUCGGCGGGGGUCAAGACCCACCAAACCUAGUACCCAUCGUUUACAGCGUGGACUAC